rnacentral:tRNA from 1 species
GCGCUGGUGGUGUAAUGGUGUAGAGCAUUCCCGCUUGCUCAGCAGGAGGUGUGGGUUCGAGUCUCUCCUGGCGCU